rnacentral:lncRNA from 1 species
AGGAAGUGACCACAAUACACUUACGCGUGAACUCGUACUGACCCGCAAGAUCAUUGACCAAUAAGAAAGAUGCAUUGGUCAUAAGUGAAAUUUCUCUGCACGUGAAAACAUGUUAUCUAAUUUCAACAAUUUAUCGUUUAAUUAAGUAGGACACUCUGACCCUUUGACCAGACUAGAGACAUCAUACAUUUACAGUAUUAAUAGCUCGCUCUUUUAUUUAAGUCGGUUAGUAAUAACCAAUUAAAACAGAAUUAUCUUCUCUGCUGUCUUAAAUUAUUUUAUUCCGCUUAAUUUCCAAUUAGCAAAUAAAAUUGGUUUUAAGACAGACAGCUAGAUAUCAUAAACAUACUAUGUAUACACAAGCCAGAGUCUGAGCUUGAUU